GUCCACACCACUCUGCAUUGUCUCCAGCACUGAGGCCGAGUAUCAGUUGCUGUUGCUCAUCACACUUGAAUGGUUAUUACAGUUUUCUGUACCCUCAUCUCAUUCAAAAGUGGGGACAUGGCCAGGUGUGGUGGCUCACGCCUGUAAUCCCAGCACUUCGGGAGGCCGAGGCAGGUGGAUCACUUGAGCCCAGGCGUUCAAGACCAAACUGGGCAACAUGGAGAAACCCCAUCUCUACUAAAAAUACAAAAAAUUAGCCGCAUGUGGUGGCGUGCACAUGUGGUCUCAGCUACUCGGGAGGCUGAGGUGGGAGGAUCGCUUGAGCCCAGGAGUUGGAGGUUGUAGUGAGCCAAGAUUGCACCACUGCACUCCAGGCCUAGGCAACAGAGUAACACGGUGUUUUAAAAAAAAAAAAAAAAAGUGGGGACACAAAAGAAACUAAGAGGGCCACCUGUUUGUAAAGAGCACAUUUCUACCCAGGCAGGCCUAUUCAUAAGCAAAUAAAGAUGGGAUUUCAUGUCCUCCCAUCUGCUUUUCUGCACCCUACCUUCUACCUUCCAGUGGCACAGUGCUUAAUGACAGCUGCUGACAAUACAGUGUCACAGGCCUUGCACCAAGAUUACCCCCAACUCCUUCCCUCACUCCCAAAUCACAAGUCUUAUUAUCCAAGCAAGCAAACCCCAGGUGCAAAACACAAAGGAGUAGUAAGUCCUGUAGAAAUUCCCAGCUCUACUCCAGCCCCCGGUUGCCAAUGACCCUGUAACGAAGCUAAAACUCCUUAGCUUGGACAUUCUGCCACGUAGAGACCUGUGGCAUGUGCCAGAUGAACUUACACCAACUGAAAACCAAGGUCACCUCUGGAGACCAGAAAUGGAAGUGACAGUCCUAGGCUAUUCAUAAAGCUUCGGUUUUUUACAAGGAGAUUGUAAUCAUGCAUAACUUACAUAAUUAAAAUUAAUAAUAAACAGAAAUGCCUCAGCCUACUUCCUGUUAGUCUGACCGCAACUUACAUUUCCAGCUUUUUUUUUUUUUUUUAAAGAUAUGGUCUCACUCCAGUGCCCAGGCUGGAAUGCAAUAGCGUGAUCUCAGCUCACUGCAACCUCCACCUCCUGGGCUCAGGCGAUAGCCCCUGCCUUAGCCUCCCAAGUAGCUGGGACUACAGGUACAUGCCACCAUGCCCAGCUACUUUUUGUAUUUUUUGUAGAGAUAGGGUAUCCCUCUGUUGCCCAGGAUGGAUACAUUUCCAGCUUAUCUCAGAUUACUCCCUUCCGUGAACAAGUCCACUCGCAGAACCCUCUCUUUCUCCAACAAAGAAUCUUUCUCCUCCUCCUUUGCCAAGCAACCUCUAGCUCAUCUCUCAAGACU
rnacentral:lncRNA from 1 species